AACGAACGCUGGCGGCAGGCUUAACACAUGCAAGUCGAACGCUUCCUUCGGGGUGAGUGGCAGACGGGUGAGUAACGCGUGGGGACGUGCCCUUCAGUUCGGGAUAACCCAGGGAAACUUGGGCUAAUACCGGAUACGUGCGAGAGCAGAAAGAUUUAUCGCUGAAGGAUCGGCCCGCGUCUGAUUAGCUAGUUGGUGGGGUAAUGGCCCACCAAGGCGACGAUCAGUAGCUGGUCUGAGAGGAUGAUCAGCCACAUUGGGACUGAGACACGGCCCAAACUCCUACGGGAGGCAGCAGUGGGGAAUAUUGGACAAUGGGCGCAAGCCUGAUCCAGCCAUGCCGCGUGAGUGAUGAAGGCCUUAGGGUUGUAAAGCUCUUUCGUCCGGGACGAUAAUGACGGUACCGGAAGAAGAAGCCCCGGUUAACUACGUGCCAGCCGCCGCCGUAA
rnacentral:rRNA from 1 species